CUCACGCAAAACUCCCAUUGGCGGCAGUAGUCAUUUAGCCUGGAUAAGGACUGCAGGAUUCAUUUUCAAGUGCAUUUAUAUUAUUGAAAACAAAAGCUCCCUUCUGAAGCUGAAUUCCGAUGAAUGUCUGAGUUAACACUCAUCAAGAAAUUCUGUAAAGAAAGAGCUCUACAAUUCCAGGGUACGCCCGUCAGAGACUGGCAUGUGGGUGGAGCAGGAGUCAGGAGCCAGGAAUCUGAGCCAAGGGGGCAGAGCUGGAGCCCAAGGUCAGAUGCCAGAGCUAAAAGUCCCAUGUUAUAAGGUGAUAUUUAAGUGUUGGCUCUGAAGCUGUAAACCAUGGGAGAUGCUAUUUCCUGCCCAACAAAAGAAGGCCCAUAGACACCAGACAAGCCAUUGUGGGACAUCAGAGGACAAAAGAGUGUGUUGAUUGCUCCCCCCACACCCAUGAAGAAGAGAUGUGCAAAGGGGACUCAUCCCAUCAGCUUGAACUCUGCGGGAAGGGAAUAAAAAUCCCUGCCAGGAAGAAAUGAUCUUUAUACCGCUUGGACUUU